AUUCUUAAAAUAAGCUAACAAAACAAAGGUUUAUGAGUCUAUAUUCUGAUUAAAUAAGUUUUGUCCAAAUCAGAGGUCAAUACAUGAAGUUAUAAUCAUAACAAGGUAGAAAGGUCAGAAUCCAAAUCAGAGGUCAAUGUUUGGAUUCCAAAUCUUUCAAUCCAUAUAUCAAAAGAAAGAUCUAUGAGUCUAGUUUCCAAUGAAAUAAGCUUUGAAUAAAUCAAUGUUUGCAAUAAGGACUUAUAAGCAGUUCAGUAUCAAAAGGUCAGAAAUUACGAUCCCUGUUUUGCAGAAUCUGUAGGCUCAUUUGAAACAGAAGUUUGGGCAGACAAACUUACUCCGAAUUCUUAAAAUAAGCUAACAAAACAAAGGUUUAUGAGUCUAUAUUCUGAUUAAAUAAGUUUUGUCCAAAUCAGAGGUCAAUACAUGAAGUUAUAAUCAUAACAAGGUAGAAAGGUCAGAAUCUCAAACGUUGCACAGAUUCGGAUCGAUAUGUCUAAACAAGAGAUAUAUCAAAUGCAAGGCUAGAACAAUUCAAAGUUCCUCAUAUUCAAAUCAAAUGUAGAGAUAGAAUUACAGUAAGGAAGGAUCAGGACACUUGCAAUAGGAAAGAUUAGAAAGCUUGCAAUAGGAAGGAUCGGAACACUUGCAAUAAAAAGGAUUGAAA
rnacentral:lncRNA from 1 species